rnacentral:rRNA from 1 species
CCUACGGGUGGCAGCAGUGAGGAAUAUUGGUCAAUGGGCGCGAGCCUGAACCAGCCAAGUAGCGUGAAGGAUGACUGCCCUAUGGGUUGUAAACUUCUUUUAUAAAGGAAUAAAGUGAGGCACGUGUGCCUUUUUGUAUGUACUUUAUGAAUAAGGACCGGCUAACUCCGUGACAGAAGCCGCGGUAAUACGGAGGAUCCGAGCGUUAUCCGGAUUUAUUGGGUUUAAAGGGAGCGUAGAUGGGUUAUGAAGUGAGUUGUGAAAGGUUGCGGCUCAACCGUAAAAUUGCAAUUGAUACUGGUAGCCUUGAGUACCGGUGAGGUAGGCGGAAUUCGUGGUGUAGCGGUGAAAUGCUUAGAUAUCACGAAGAACUCCGAUUGCGAAGGCAGCUUACUAAACUGCCACUGACAUUGAUGCUCGAAAGUGUGGGUAUCAAACAGGAUUAGAUACCCUAGUAGUC